rnacentral:rRNA from 1 species
CGUGGCUAACCUGCCCUUGGGACGAGAACAACCCCGGGAAACUGGGGCUAAUUCUCGAUAGGCGAAGAACUCUGGAAUGAGUCUUCACUUAAAAGGCGUUACGUUAUGCUCGUAAUGUCGCCCAAGGGUGGGGCCGCGACCGAUCAGGUUGUUGGUGAGGUAAUGGCUCACCAAGCCUUUUACCGGUGCGGGCCGUGGGAGCGGGAGCCCGGAGAUGGGCACUGAGACAAGGGCCCAGGCCCUACGGGGCGCAGCAGUCGCGAAAACUUUGCAAUAAGCGAAAGCUUGACAGGGCUAUCCCGAGUGCCAUCCGCUGAGGAAGGCUUUUACCCAGUCUAGAACGCUGGGGGAAUAAGGAGAGGGCAAGUCUGGUGUCAGCCGCCGCGGUAAUACCAGCUCUCCGGGUGGUGUGGAUGUUUAUUGGGCCUAAAGCAUCCGUAGCUGGCUAGGUGAGUCCCCUGUUAAAUCCACCGAAUUAAUCGUUGGAUUGCGGGGGAUACUGCUUGGCUAGGGGACGAGAGAGGCAGACGGUAUUUCCGGGGUAGGGGUGAAAUCCUAUAAUCCCGGGAAGACCACCAGUGGCGAAGGCUGUCUGCUAGAACGCGCCCGACGGUGAGGGAUGAAAGCUGGGGGAGCGAACCGGAUUAGAUACCCGGGUAGUCCCAGCUGU